GGUGAGUAAUGCGUAGGAAGCUGCCCGAUAGAGGGGGAUACCAGUUGGAAACGACUGUUAAUACCGCAUAAUGUCUACGGACCAAAGUGUGGGACCUUCGGGCCACAUGCUAUCGGAUGCGCCUACGUGGGAUUAGCUAGUUGGUGAGGUAAUGGCUCACCAAGGCGACGAUCUCUAGCUGGUUUGAGAGGAUGAUCAGCCACACUGGAACUGAGACACGGUCCAGACUCCUACGGGAGGCAGCAGUGGGGAAUA
rnacentral:rRNA from 1 species